AACGAACGCUGGCGGCAUGCCUAACACAUGCAAGUCGAACGAGACCUUCGGGUCUAGUGGCGCACGGGUGCGUAACGCGUGGGAACCUGCCCUUAGGUUCGGAAUAACUCCCCGAAAGGGGUGCUAAUACCGGAUAAUGUCUUCGGACCAAAGAUUUAUCGCCUUUGGAUGGGCCCGCGUUGGAUUAGCUAGUUGGUAGGGUAAAAGCCUACCAAGGCGACGAUCCAUGGCUGGUCUGAGAGGAUGAUCAGCCACACUGGGACUGAGACACGGCCCAGACUCCUACGGAAGGCAGCAGUAGGGAAUAUUGGACAAUGGGCGAAAGCCUGAUCCAGCAAUGCCGCGGGAGUGAUGAAGGGCUUAGGGUUGUAAAGCUCUUUUACCCGGGAUGAUAAUGACAGUACCGGGAGAAUAAGCUCCGGCUAACUCCGUG
rnacentral:rRNA from 1 species